AUUGAACGCUGGCGGCAGGCUUAACACAUGCAAGUCGAGCGGGGGAAGGUAGCUUGCUACCUGACCUAGCGGCGGACGGGUGAGUAAUGCUUAGGAAUCUGCCUAUUAGUGGGGGACAACAUUCCGAAAGGAAUGCUACUACCGCAUACGCCCUACGGGGGAAAGCAGGGGAUCUUCGGACCUUGCGCUAAUAGAUGAGCCUAAGUCAGAUUAGCUAGUUGGUGGGGUAAAGGCCUACCAAGGCGACGAUCUGUAGCGGGUCUGAGAGGAUGAUCCGCCACACUGGGACUGAGACACGGCACAGACUCCUACGGGAGGCAGCAGUGGGGAAUAUUGGACAAUGGGCGAAAGCCUGAUCCAGCCAUGCCGCGUGUGUGAAGAAGGCCUUUUGGUUGUAAAGCACUUUAAGCGAGGAGGAGGCUACUUGGAUUAAUACUCUAGGAUAGUGGACGUUACUCGCAGAAUAAGCACCGGCUAACUCUGUGCCAGCCGCCGCCGUAA
rnacentral:rRNA from 1 species